AUUUAAGUAGAAUGAUGACAGAGCUGCUUUCUCUACUUCUACGUAGGCAGUACAGCAUGUUGUGUUGGUCUACCCUGCGCUCUAGUGGCCAGAAAGGUUCACAACAGUUUAAAAACAUGUGCACUAAAGAGAAGCUAGAUCUAAUACAGAGAGGGGGAAAACAACAACGAAGAAAAAGGGAUUCAAUCAAGGCUUUAAACCUAAGGCGGAGGCUCUCCUGGGUGGUGACAUCACACAGCCGCUGUUACGCCAGUGCUGAUUAACUCAAGAAUACACACACCCCAAACUGCCGGUCUCCUCCCUCCCAUCUCCAGCCUGACAAGCCGUCAACGAGUGAGAGACUGAGAAACUCCUGCUGGUUUUACCCGAGGUCGACCCGAACCGUGGCCACACCUCAGCUCUCGCACGAGGCCCGACAGCUGUGCAAAAGUCAUCACAACAUACGGAACUACAACAGCAGGCGAUGGAGCGACUGUGCCCAAGCCGCACAUCACCCCGCAAUUAACACCAGGCCUCGGACCAACUGCCCAGUCAUCAGAGUACUCACUGCUGAGUAACAGGGUGCAGAGCACAAGAACUACCGUCAUCUUCCUCCAGAGCCCAUUCAUUCUCCACGUGGACACGGCCGUCAUCCUCCCUGGUCAGACUUGUUGUGGGAGCAGAGUAAAAACGUGGAUCCAGACGGUGGACAGUCAUCAGACUGAGCCGGUGCAGCGGUGGAGCCAACGGUCCAUUAUAGACGUCCUUGGUGGAACCGAUGGCCUCGGGGGUUUCUUCACUGCGGCGUAACACACUCACCCAGAGCUCCAGUGGCCGAGCUAAGAGACUCGCAUGAAGACAAACGAUGACAAUUCACUGCGUUACAGCUGAAGGUUAUCACGUUUGGCGCUGAACAGGAGGUUUCAUUCUUCUUCAACUGCAGACUCAGGACCUGGAGAGUCGAAACGCUUCGUCAAAAUCUUACGGGCAAACCAGACGUAGAGUGGGAAGCACUGCAGUCAGACACGGACGCCACACGGAGCAGGAAAUCAAAGGCAUGCAAAAGGGAUCCAACUCCAGAUGAGAAGGAAACCACCCUCCCCCAAACCUCCCCCCCCCGGAAAUGACGAAAGGACGAAAGACACACUUAACUACUGUAAUGUGCCUUUGUCACAAUGGUGACCACAAGAGGAGCUGUUGAGCAGCUGGAGGUCUCUAAAGAACCGAUCCACAGGAGAAAAAAAAAACAAAGGCAUUUAGGUCCAGUUACUCUAAACAAGCAGUGAGGUAUCAGAGGACACAGUCGGUUUGGCUGAAAUGGGAAGACGCUGCAAUUUAAAGGAAGAAUUAUCACGUUUUUCUGCCUGGACUCCUGCAUCUCCGUGUUUAUCGGGGUUCUGGUGAGU